CUGUGGGUUCAGCUGACAGCCGAGGGCUGCAGGGUCCCAUUGGGGGGGUCCUCGGGGCGCGGGGCGCUCUGUGCAGGUGACACCGCAGCCGUGGCGAAGCUGUGGGUCCCCCUGUCUGUGGGUGCCACGUGUGGGGGGGGGACGGCGGCGUGAGGGGGGUCCUCCAGGGCCAAAAUGUCAAUGGGGGCUUCAGCCACGUCCCGGAUGGACGGAGCGAGGGCGGCGGACGGAUCGAAGAGCAGCGGGGAUGGGGGGCACUGCAUGCCAUCACCCACCACGUCCAGGUCAUCGCUGAACUCCAGGGGCAAACUCUCGGUGGGCUGCAGCUCUGCAGCACUCAGGUACAGGUCGGUGGGGGCCGCCUCCAGCUCCUCGGGCACAGCCAGCACCUGCUCGGGGACGUACAUCUGCGGGGGCAGGCGGAGGUGCAGCGGGCAGCAG
rnacentral:lncRNA from 1 species